AACGCACCUUGCGCCCUUUGGUAUUCCGAAGGGCAUGCCUGUUUGAGUAUCAUGAACACCUCAACUCUUCAUGGUUUUCCAUGAUGAGCUUGGACUUUGGGGGUCUUGCUGGCCUGCGGUCAGCUCCUCUCAAAUGAAUCAGCUUACCAGUGUUUGGUGGGCAUCACAGGUGUGAUAACUAUCUGCGCUUGUGGUUUUCCACCAAGUAACCUUCAGCAGUGGAGGUUCACUGGAGCUCACAGACGUCUCUCCUCAGUGAGGACAGCCCUUUGAAUGUUUGAUCUCAAAUCAGGUAGGACUACCCGCUGAACUUAA
rnacentral:misc_RNA from 1 species